CAAAGUUACAUCAUAUUUCAUCCACGUCAUGGAGCAGCACAAAGAUAAAAACUUUAUUUUAGCACCAUAUCAUCAAGACUCUCAUUGGUUACUUUUGGUGAUUUGCAUACGGUUAAAAAGCAUAUGUAUCUUGGAUCCCUUGCCUUCUAAUCGCAACAUAG